CCUCCACAAUGCAUUUUUACCAAAAUAGACUUCUCUAGAAAAAUAAAAUAAAUAAUUAAAAAGAAAUUCCUCGAGCUCCGGCGAACCUCCCCGCGGACGAAGAAGCCGGCCCCAGAUUACAUCGGCUGACUGAUCGAAACUCCGAUCUCUCUCUCUCUAUCUCUCCCUCAUUGACGAGAUUUCACCUCUCGCGGAACCGAAACUCCUGUCUCUCUGGCCACUCUUUCCUCCUUCAGAGAAAAGUGAUUUCGGCCUUAAAGGCAAGCUGAAUAUUGCACGAGGCAAUGAGCUCAGCUCCGAGCACAGCUCAAGGAAUCGCCGGCAGAGGGAGAGUUUUCUGGGGAUGGCUCUUCGUUGCGACGGGCUCAAUUUCCUUCCUGGGUUUCCUCUACGCGGCGAUGAUCUCGAAGCUCUUGCCCCCUUCGGACAACCCCGUCGUUUUCGCCAUUCAAAAUGACAAGUAUUACUGCUUUCUGGUGCCCCUCACACUCCCCAUACUCGUUGUCUCCGUCUACUUUCACUGGCUUAGUAUGAAGCUAUUCAAGCAUGCAUGACUUUUAUGGCCUAACAACACUGGGAUUUGUAAGAUAUCAUAUGGCAAAAGGUGACGUGAAUGAUGUUGGGCAUGGGAAUUGGGAAUUCUGAAGAUUGCAAAUUGGAUGUAUUUCGGAGACCUCCCAAAAGAAACUUCAGUGAUGGAGGUAAACCAUUAUAAAAGGCUCCUUGCAGAAGAGGAAGAUUAGUUUCGAGCACAUUCGAUUGAAGAAACUCGGGAACCAAAAAAGCACAAGUUUCACUACAUGAUACCGUUGAGAAUCUUGAGAACAAUGUAAAGCAAGACCUUACACAUUAUUAUAUCUUCUGAAAAGCAAUCAGGUACAUCAAUUAAUAGGGAAGCGUUCUGGACGGUAAUUGCUUGAUGUCAGAUUCUACAAAAUGAUGGAAUGCGGAAGAAUUCACAUUAACUGUGGUCCUCUGUGGACAUUGGACGUUAUUACCGACAUUGUCCCGGUACGGGGCGCGCUCUGGGGCUUAAUGUAUUGCGUCAUUCAUUGCACUGAAAUUGGUGUACUCGGAGAUUUUUUCUAGUAGCGUAAGUUAAGGUGUUUCGGCA